UCAUGUCCCACACGUUCCUUUUUUCACCCGCUCCUUCAGGUCAAUAUUAGCACAAGGAACUCCAGCUACUUGAUGUACCCCAGUCAAAUUUACCAAACACUGUUUGACUCAUGCUAUUAAAUCUGAAGAUGAAAGAAUGGCCAAGGGCAAACAGCUCCUACGGCUAUACACCAAAUACCCAGACUCUCUACUUUUAACAGUAAGGCACAAUUAAGAAUUUAAAUGGAUCCUGCAUAAAUGUGCUACUGCUGUGAAUCUGACUGGCUUUGAAAAUAUCAUAAUUAGUGUCAAGCCUGGCUGACAUUGUGCAAAGCGUAAAGUCCAGCCAUCAUUACUGAUGCACUGCAGAGAUAAGUUCGUCUCUGUGAUUAAAACUGAGAAAUAAAACCAAAAAGGAAUAAAAUAAUGAAGUCAGGAUGUAUAGAUGUUUUCUCCAGAGGAGCCAGACUGAAACCCACAUCUAUUCAACCCCCGUGGUAUUUACUUUCAAAAUAUAAUUCCAGCUCUAUUACAGGAGAUAGAGAAGGACAAAUAUGACACAGCAACAGACAAAUGGGAGCGAAAGAGAAAGAGAGAAGGCAGAGGAGAGGAGGGGAGCUGAGAGAGAUAGGCAGGGUUAGGAUGAUAAGGGAUCACAGAUAAAGCCUCCAGGGUGCAGACGUGUUCCAGAGAGGAGUGACCAAUCAAGAUAGAGUGAAAGAGGGGUGAAAAUUGUGAUAAGAGUGAUGACAGAGUGUAAAAUGACUCAGUCAGGCCUGGCUUCGGCUCCAAUCUCACAGUCCUCGUCCCGGUUCAGUCCAGUCCUUAGGUUGAGACUGUGCCGGCAGGUUGUAGGACGAGGCUGAUUUGGAUAUUUUUUAAAAAAGCAAAACCUCCAACACGCAGUUUUGUUCAGACACAUGCACGCAUGGGUUGACGUGAGUGUUGAAGAUGUUCUCAUGUUCUUCUGAAUUGCAAAAAGGAUGUGCAUCGUGAAUCAGGUUCAAGGAAACCCAAAUGUACUUGAAUUGGUGAUGGGAUACCGCUGAGCCAGGGUUAACUUUACCCAUGCAGCCAACUCUCUGAGGAGUUUGGUGAUUUUUUCUUGGGGUUGUAUCUUCAAAAAAGCUGAAAACCAAACCAUAAAAUUCAGAGUUUCCAAGACCACAGUUUUCCCUAGAUUUUCACUCUACUCACUGAAAUCUGAAAGAAGCCCUUAAAAACUCUUUCCCUUAAAAUUUGGGGUUGUCUCGUAUUCAGACUUCUUACAAAAACAAUUAAUCUAAAAAAAUCUUUAGGCCAAAUUCCGGCAAAAGAAACCUGUUUGUAGGAAUGUAGAGUCAGCUUCAGAUUUUUCUCUCGCUUUCAGAGUGUUUGGUUAUUUAGUAAGCUUUUAGUAGAAAUAACUUUUAGGCAGUACUUUUCAAACAAAUAGAGCUGCUAACUGAAGAGGCUCAUGCUUUAAAGAACCUCCCUCGUCGGUUUGAAAAGAAAUGUGCUGCAAGGUUGAGUUCAAGGAAACUAAGACUGACUCACAUUAGAGAUGGGAUGAAGUCUGCCAUGUCAAGGUAACUCCUUUUAUCGAUGCAAGCAUCCAUACGCUUCUUACCUCUCUAAAAGAGUCUCUUUUUCCAUGCUGGCUUUCAGAUUUUUAAGAAAGGUCAAAAAACUAAACCCUCCAACAAAAACGCCUCUGAGGACUCUCAGAGUGUUUUAAAUUCAAAUGCAAGAAGUCAAGAACUUUUUUUUCUGACUCAUCCAACAAAAUCGUCCAUUUUUGUCUGAAGGAGAGUCUAAUCCUGCAUUUGCUGACAGUACAACAUGUGCGAUAACAUGCCAUCGCAAAAGUCCACUGCUUUGGUUACACCCUAAGCUCCCCUGGGAUAAAUGUUGGACUUGUGUAUCUUCAACCCAUUGUGCAACAGUAGUAAACACUGUGUCUGAAAAGCCAAGGGACAGAAUGAGCAUGAGGAAAGGGAGAGAUUGCUGCAAUUGUUCUGAAUCCAAAUACAAUGAUGUUACAUUAAAGGUGGGGUAGGCAGGAUCUGAGGAAGUGCCAGUUUUGGGGAGAAAUCUUGAAUGUAAACACGACCCCUCCCAACCAGUUUUCCCCUCAGCUCCUCCUCUCCCCUCCCUCUCUGCUCCAGCAAGCCCCGCCCACAAACAGACGCUUGUCUUCGCUCGUAUCGUUCCAAUUUAAUUCAGAUAUAAUGAAGAUAAAUACUUCAGAUAAUUACAAAUGGGGCCCAGUCAACGUGAAAGUAAAAAGCAUUGGUGCUACUGUAGACGCCAACAGACUACCAGCAAACACAAUGUUUGCAGGACUUCUACAACUAGGAUAAAGUGACAUAGUCCAGGACCCGAGGUAAACAGUUUAGCGGCGCUAAAAAAAUAUAAAAUGUUGACGACAAAGACAUAAUAAAACACAGUGAAACCGCAAUAUUACCAAAUGUCGUCAAUGACUAAUAGCUAUUGACUGAUAUUAAAAGCUUUUUUGUAUAUACACUAUAAAAAAGAUGCUUCUUUAACAGAUUCCCGCCUAUCCCACCUUUAAAGCUUGAGAAGACUGAAUAAUCUGUUAGAUCUGCAGCCUGUGCAGCUCAAAUCCUUCAAUGUUUUCAUAGCUGUGUAAAAUUACUUUACCACGAGUGUAGAGAUGUCCCGAUGCAACUUUUUUACCUCCGAUACGAUACCAGUAUUGUAGCCUUCAGAUCAAUAUUGGCUGAUAGUAAUAUUGAUCCGAUAUUAGCACAAAUUUGUGCAUGACAAGUUUUGCAGUCAUUUGCAACGUCUUUCUUGGACUUUAAUGAAAAAUACUGCCACACAGCCGACAUCACUCCCGCUCCUUGCUACUAGCGGAGUCUGGAAUGGACUGCUUGUAUUGACAUGCUAAAAUCUGACAUUUUAGAUGCAGGCCGAUAUAACCCGAUAUUCAAUGUUUUGGUGAUAUCAGACCAAUAUCCGAUAUCAAUAUCAAAUUGGGACACCCCUACACGAGUGAAAUCUGUGAUUUAAUUGAUGAAUUUCAACAAAAGUACUCCAAAGAUCUUUCAGUGAUGUAAAGCAUUGAUGCAUUGUUUCUACAGUACUAGUACAAAUGUCUUUUCACCAAAUUCAUAACAUCAAAUCCAAUCAAAAAAAUAAUAAUCCUGAUUUUGCCAUAAUGGAGCGGCCCCUGGAUAUGUUCACUGAUUGAUUCAGUAGAGGCUCCUUUCUUAUUAGAUAGGCUUUGCUGAAAGUUUAGAUACAUCCAUCAGUGCAACUGUAGAAUAAAUCAGAUCCUCAGCAGCAUCAUCCAGAUUGAGAGUCCUGCAGGACCCUGUCAUAUAUCCCACUGAAAGGCUCGGAAAGUUGUCAGAAAGUUGCUGGAAACAAAUGUUUGCCCAUCACGGUGAAGAGUUUCUGGACACUAACCUUUUCGGAUAAACAGAGAGUGAAACAAACAGGACGGGAUGUAUGGGUGUCACUGUAACGAGGAGCUGGCAAGAGUUUGAGGAGCUGCUUUCUUUGGAGGUGACACGUUGAAGCCCUUUAGAUGGAUCGUGGUGAAAAAUCUGAACUGAAGGUGCCAAAACUUUUCGCAGACAGACAGGAGAGACAGGAUUGAAGGGAAUUAAGCUGACCCGAGGCAAGAGACGAGACUUUUUUACAUCAAAGGAGAAGUCGUCUUGUCUCCAUCUCUCGUCGCUCUGAUUGAGAAGAAAGGAAGAAUAUUUCACUGAUACUUGGGUGAGAUUUCCUGUGAUGUAAAGCUAAACCUUCAAUCUUCCCAUAAUUCAAAAACAAUCCCAUUACUCAAGCUGAUAAUAAAGCUCAGGUAAAUACACUGUGAACUCUCUAUUUUUCUACCUGCAUCAUAAAUUUUCAUAAGCAGGCUAAGCGGGGGGCAUAUUUUGUUUUCUGAAUAGUUGACAGUUGCAAAGUGCACACAUAUUGACAGUGAUUAGAAUCUGUGAGGGCUUACUGCCAAUGAAUAUUCAGGAGCACCUGUCUGCAGCUGAACCCGCAGUUCAACAAUGCGUGGUCGGGGCGUUCAAUUGCAGUCUCUAAGAUGGAGUCGCGCUACUCUGCAAAAUGAGAAAUCACAAGCGUGUGUUGGCUUACACACCGGUGUGCACUGUGCAGAAAACACACUCUUAAAUACAGUGGAUUUACUGGUCCGUACAGAAGUGUGUGUGUGUGUGUGUGUGUGUGUGUGUGUGUGUGUGUGUGUGUGUGUGUGUGUGUGUGUGUGUGUGUGUGUAUUUUGAUAUUCAUUUCGCAUUCCUGUCAACACUUAACUAAUAAAUUCAAGACAGAAAAAACAAUCUUGUUGAGCUCACCUGUAGAGCAACACGUUUAAUGUUUUAUUUAAAGAAAACGUCUGAGCUCAUUCAGAGCCUCUCAUUUUGAAUUUGUCUGUUUGGUCUCCUUUUGUAGUAAACUGAUAAAUAAAUGUUUUUUUUUUUUGUUUUAAUUUGUUUGUUUUUUACAUACCAGAGUGUUUUCUCGAUUUCUACACCAUGCAAUACUGUCUGCAGAGCCAAAGGCUGCAGUUUCAGGACCACAUUUCUAUGACCCAUUUGUUGUUGUAAAAGUUAAGGGAGGUUAAGACACAAAAAUGUAGUCUUGGUGAUACAGUGCAAGAAGCAAUGCCUGUCAGAAUCAACAAAGAUCUUAGAAAUGCUGUUCCAGAGGUCCUAAAUCUGCAGCUUCCAGGUAUGCAGACGUACAGACUGUUUUCUGAUAUGAACCAAGGGGAGAAUGAUACAUUGAUGAUACAUUGUUGCCAUGUCUCAUCUGGUCCAGUUCACGUUCACAAAGGCCAAACUCAAACGGUCCAAAAAUUGUCACAUGGCAGCAAAAGCCAUUCGUUAAUUGCUUGUACAGUUUAGGCGGGUAGACGACAAAUCCCUUGCAAUUUUAACUGCACAUCACGGAUAAUUGUUUGCUCAUUUUUGUGUUGGUGCUGAUCUGGACUGCAUAUCAGCAGACUCGAAUGGACCACAUAAAAGAACGACUGGGAAGACUGCAGCAAAUGAAUAAUGUAUUAAUACACGCACGUCACAAGAGACGCUCUCCAAUUGGACGGAAGGCGACAGGCAGUAAUUCGUAACUGCACGUUUGUCCCCUACCAGACACCACCAUAACAGGAUAUGACAUGUAAAACGGUGCGCUUCCUGUGAUAGCUGUGGAUGGGGACCAGAGUUCACUUAAUAGUGGUUUGAAACCACCCCUACCAGGCAGACCCGAGAGUUCGAGGCCAGCGCUCACACCAACCAAAACGAACCUCACCAAGGAGGUAAACGCUCCAGGGUUCAGUUCAACUGGACUAAACAGGGCUGGCCUGAACGCGACCGAAGACGCUAAAGCAAUGCACCCAAAUGGAGGCUAUCACUAUGUAGAUGUUUUUUCAUCAGGAGACAACUACAAAUAUCAACAAGAGUGGUCAUGUUCAACUCUGGCCUCUGUGAAAGUUCUGCUGUGCAUGGCACAUCCAAAACCAUCAAAUUAGACCUUUCUCUUACCUUAUACUCUGUGAUCAGACUCUCCACAUUUCAUGUUAUCAUCACAAAGAAGGAGCUAUUGGAGUUUCUCUCUAAGGUAUGAACAGAGAAAAACUAGAGUUAGAAAGCCAAGGUUAUUUCACAUAUUUCUGUGUUUUCAUGUGUGAGGUGGAAAUAAAUUUCUGCCAUCACAUCUAUACAACUAAAAUAUGCUAGCUUUAGUGACCACAUACUUACAUUUAUUAUUUAAGUACAACAUGUUUGCUGGAGAUCACAGUAACUCACAGUAAAAUCUGACCCGCACCAAGCAGACAAAGAAACCAAAAGUGUUGUUAUUCUUGACACCAAUCUGUCCCAGUUUUGCUGACUCGCCCCCCGCUGCGCCUCCCCCUCACCUUUGGCGCAGGCGAAAUUACGAUGAGUCACCAAAAUAUCAAACAGCACAAGCAUGACUGUGCCUGCGAAACAAAAACAACAAAAGAUGCCACCUCACCAGCGAAAGCCGAGCCUAAAUAACAACUCUGGUUUUCCCUCUGGUUCAGAGUUUGUUUCUGCAUGUCACCAGCCUGAGAGACACUGCAGUCUUUCAUCAUUACAUGAGUUUAAUUUUAUUUUACUGGACUCGUGUACUGUGAUAUUACCUAGUAAGUAUAGAUCCAUGUUUUGGAUCUCAGCCUGACAAAGCCAGCUGGUUCAAUUAAGUGUGUGAUGCUCUCUCUGGCACAGAAAGUGAAAUAGGUGGGUGUGCAGCAGAGAGGCAAUUUCAGGGUUUGGAACUGAUCUCAUUGUUUGUGCAAUUUAAAUGAAGAUAAUAUUCGAUAAACAUGAUCCCAGAACACUGACGCAAACCUUUAUCAACAGCAAUGCGUCCUCAUUUAUCACAAAUAUUGAAUUCAUCUGAGAGAAUUUGAUCUUAAUUUAGGAAAUCUGAGCUUCAAACUGCUGAGUGCCUGAGUCUCAGACUGCAAAACAAGCAGCAUUAACACCACAGCGUCUUUAGAAAUCAGAUUAUCAUGAGCUGCUUUUUUGCAAUGUAGCUGUUAACCACUAUCAUCUGUGAAAAAGCAGUAUUUUGUGUGAAGUGAACACAGCUAUAGAUAGGAGCUGUAACCCUGCCAUUCUGUAACUAUGGAAACAAUAAUGAGGUCACUGUGCUAUUUUAGCAGGGUUUACUCUGAGAUCAUUACAGACAGCACACCACAGUUUCAGCACAAGUUUGUGGAAGUUCAGUAAAGACAGAGCCUCCACGGAAACUGAACCCGUCACACACACAUAUCUACACACGCACAAAGAGUCGAAUUAAGAUGUGAUGCUGCCGGCUAUAACCUUGAGUGAUCUCACAUGGAGCUCAUUAGUCAUUGCACACAGUUCAAUCCCAAUACCAGCCAUGUCAAAAUCAGAAAAUAAUAAUAAUGUCAAAGUAUCUACUCUUUCAUUCACAGUCAUUACAUGUUGUUUGGCCUUCGAUCUCCUGAGAACACUCUUCAUCUGAA
rnacentral:lncRNA from 1 species